rnacentral:rRNA from 1 species
CCUACGGUGUGCUGCAGUGGGGAAUAUUGGACAAUGGGCGAAAGCCUGAUCCAGCCAUGCCGCGUGUGUGAAGAAGGCCUUCGGGUUGUAAAGCACUUUCAGUGGGGAAGAAAGCCUUGGGGCUAAUACCCUCGAGGAAGGACAUCACCCACAGAAGAAGCACCGGCUAACUCCGUGCCAGCAGCCGCGGUAAUACGGAGGGUGCGAGCGUUAAUCGGAAUUACUGGGCGUAAAGCGCGCGUAGGCGGUCUGAUAAGCCGGUUGUGAAAGCCCGGGCUCAACCUGGGAACGGCAUCCGGAACUGUCAGGCUAGAGUGCAGGAGAGGAAGGUAGAAUUCCCGGUGUAGCGGUGAAAUGCGUAGAGAUCGGGAGGAAUACCAGUUGCGAAGGCGGCCUUCUGGACUGACACUGACGCUGAGGUGCGAAAGCGUGGGUAGCAAACAGGAUUAGAUCCCCCGGUAGUC